GACAGGCUCCUCCUCUCUCUGACAGUAACUGCUCACAAGUGGGACGUGUUAUGUGAAUGAGAGCAGUUCCAGGGCUUGCGUGAAUACUACUGAGGCUGUUUACAUCCCUUCAACACAUCACUGGAUGAAUUGAACCAGGCAGUAAGUAGCCAGUAUGUGAUCUGCAAUCACUGAGGACUCGUGAGGCAGACUAAGAAGCCCUACUGGAUCCACUGGAGAAAUUCUGGCUUUCAUGUCUGUUUGAGGUGUUUUGGAAUGACUUGGUCCUGUCAGUUCACAAAGAUCAAUCAGAUCUUCUGCUGAAAUCCUUGGUGACACCUCUGCCUUCAGGUCAUCCAACUUGAUAGAAUCUCUAGACUUCAAAAAAAAAAAAAAAAAGUAAUAAUAAAGAUGAUUAAAGAGUUAAAGACACAACAUUCUUUGCAACAUCUAUUUAUUUGACAACCUCAAAGUAUGACAAUUUGGUUAGAUGGAAAUCAAACUUCUCCUUCCUGAGUCAUUACAACUAACUGCCAAUUAAUUAACUGUUCAAAGUGCCUAUUUUUGAAAGCUUUCAUACACUGUGUAAUUAAACAUACAUCAGCAUGCACAAUGGUGUUAAAUAGUUAAUAAACACCGAUUUAUAACUUCCUGCAGCAACAUCUUAUUUUCUGUUAGCAC